AUGAAUGCAAACUUUCAACUAUUUCUAAUUCUUCUCUGUCAUUUAAGAGGCUUUCAAGGUGCACUGUACAUCCCAGAUCAGGGUGAAUUUGGUUUCAUCCCUGAUGCAUCUGCCCGGGCAGACAAAUUGGCUCUCUCUGAUGACUCUUUUACGCCAAGAGGAAAUCUGAUCUGCUACAGCACGGAAACUUCAGCGGUGACCAUGGCUAGACAAAUUCCUUAGGGAGCUGCCUGUUUUGAAGCCAAGAGUUCAUGAUAUGAUCCAGCUGGCUUACAGAGAU
rnacentral:lncRNA from 1 species